rnacentral:rRNA from 1 species
UACGAAGGGUGCAAGCGUUACUCGGAAUUACUGGGCGUAAAGCGUGCGUAGGUGGUGAGUUAAGUCUGUCGUGAAAGCCCCGGGCUCAACCUGGGAAUGGCGAUGGAUACUGGCUCGCUAGAGUGCGGUAGAGGAGAGUGGAAUUCCCGGUGUAGCAGUGAAAUGUGUAGAGAUCGGGAGGAACAUCAGUUGCGAAGGCGGCCUGCUGGGCAGUUACUGACACUGAGGCGCGACAGCGUGGGGAGCAAACAGG